rnacentral:tRNA from 1 species
GGAAGGAUAGUUCAGUUGGCAGAACAAACGGCGGUAAACUGUAUCGUCCUCGGUUCGAGUCCGAGUCCUUCCACCA